rnacentral:rRNA from 1 species
GGAUGAACGCUAGCGACAGGCCUAACACAUGCAAGUCGAGGGGCAGCACAUGAGUAGCAAUACGAUGGUGGCGACCGGCGCACGGGUGAGUAACACGUAUGCAACCUGCCUGUAAGAGGGGAAUAACCCGGAGAAAUUCGGACUAAUACCGCAUAAUACCACGAGACUGCAUGGUUUUGUGGUUAAACAUUUAUGGCUUACAGAUGGGCAUGCGUAUGAUUAGAUAGUUGGUAGGGUAACGGCCUACCAAGUCUACGAUCAUUAGGGGUUCUGAGAGGAAGGUCCCCCACACUGGUACUGAGACACGGACCAGACUCCUACGGGAGGCAGCAGUGGGGAAUAUUGGACAAUGGGGGGAACCCUGAUCCAGCGAUGCCGCGUGUGUGAAGAAGGCCUGAGGGUUGUAAAGCACUUUAGUUGGGGAGGAAAGGCUCUCUUCGAAUAGGGGAGAGAAAAGACGUUACCCAAAGAAUAAGCACCGGCUAACUCUGUGCCAGCAGCCGCGGUAAUACAGAGGGUGCAAGCGUUAAUCGGAAUGACUGGGCGUAAAGGGCACGUAGGCGGAUAGAUAUGUCAAAGGUGAAAUCCCCGGGCUCAACCUGGGAACUGCCUGUGAAACUGUGUAUCUAGAAUAGAGUAGAGGUAAGUGGAAUUUCCGGUGUAGCGGUGAAAUGCGUAGAUAUCGGAAAGAACACCAGUGGCGAAGGCGACUUACUGGGCUCAUAUUGACGCUGAGGUGCGAAAGCGUGGGGAGCAAACGGGAUUAGAUACCCCGGUAGUCCACGCUGUAAACGAUGAGAACUAGAUGCUUGUUGACUAAGGUUAAUGAGUAUUGAAGCAAACGCGUUAAGUUCUCCGCCUGGGGAGUACGGCCGCAAGGUUAAAACUCAAAGGAAUUGACGGGGGCCCGCACAAGCGGUGGAGCAUGUGGUUUAAUUCGAUGCAACGCGAAAAACCUUACCUACCCUUGACAUGCCAGGAAUCCUAAAGAGAUUUGGGAGUGCCCGCGAGGGAGCCUGGACACAGGUGCUGCAUGGCUGUCGUCAGCUCGUGUCGUGAGAUGUUGGGUUAAGUCCCGUAACGAGCGCAACCCCUAUUGUUAGUUGCCAGCGAGUAAAGUUGGGCACUCUAAUGAGACUGCCGGUGAUAAACCGGAGGAAGGUGGGGAUGAUGUCAAGUCAUCAUGGCCCUUAUGGGUAGGGCUACACACGUGCUACAAUGGCCGGUACAAAGGGAAGCGAAGUCGCGAGAUGGAGCGAAUCCUCAGAAGCCGGUCGUAGUCCGGAUUGGAGUCUGCAACUCGACUCCAUGAAGUCGGAAUCGCUAGUAAUCGUGGAUCAGCAUGCCACGGUGAAUACGUUCCCGGGCCU